ACCUAAUCAGAAAGCCACGGCUAACUACGUGCCAGCAGCCGCGGUAAUACGUAGGUGGCAAGCGUUAUCCGGAAUUAUUGGGCGUAAAGCGCGCGUAGGCGGUUUUUUAAGUCUGAUGUGAAAGCCCACGGCUCAACCGUGGAGGGUCAUUGGAAACUGGAAAACUUGAGUGCAGAAGAGGAAAGUGGAAUUCCAUGUGUAGCGGUGAAAUGCGCAGAGAUAUGGAGGAACACCAGUGGCGAAGGCGACUUUCUGGUCUGUAACUGACGCUGAUGUGCGAAAGCGUGGGGAUCAAACAGGAUUAGAUACCCUGGUAGUCCACGCCGUAAACGAUGAGUGCUAAGUGUUAGGGGGUUUCCGCCCCUUAGUGCUGCAGCUAACGCAUUAAGCACUCCGCCUGGGGAGUACGACCGCAAGGUUGAAACUCAAAUGAAUUGACG
rnacentral:rRNA from 1 species